CCUACGGGAGGCUGCAGUGGGGAAUAUUGGGCAAUGGGCGAAAGCCUGACCCAGCAACGCCGCGUGAAGGAAGAAUGCUUUCGGGUUGUUAACUUCUUUUUACAUGGAAGUGCAGAAGACGGUACCUGUCGAAUAAGCUACGGCUAACUACGUGCCAGCAGCCGCCGUAAUACGUAGGUGGAAAGCGUUGUCCGGAUUUACUGGGUGUAAAGGGCGUGUAGCCGGGCUGACAAGUCAGAUGUGAAAUCCGGGGGCUCAACCCCCGAACUGCAUUUGAAACUGUUGGUCUUGAGUAUCGGAGAGGCAGGCGGAAUUCCUGGUGGAGCGGUGAAAUGCGUAGAUAGUAGGAGGAACACCAGUGGCGAAGGCGGCCUGCUGGACGACAACUGACGGUGAGGCGCGAAAGCGUGGGGAGCAAACAGGAUUAGAUACCCGUGUAGUC
rnacentral:rRNA from 1 species